GGUCCGCNAAGGGCUGGACCAUAACCAGGAAUUGGACAGGGGNUCCCNCCACAACCCGGUCGANCAUGUGGCUNUAAUUCCNANCGCNAACGNGAAGNACNUUNGCCUGGGNUACAAUCGNGNGNNUAAGGCCGGAGAGAUCGGUCCCNCCGGGCAACCGGCGCACCCCCGAAGGUGAUGUCAUGGCUGUCGUCAGCUCGUGUCGNGAGAUGUUGGGUUNAGUCCCNCACACGAGCGCAACCCUUACCACUAGUUGCCAGCAUUUAGUUGGGCACUCUAGCGGAACUGCCGGUGAUAAACCGGAGGAAGGUGGGGAUGACGUCAAGUCAUCAUGGCCUCUAUGUCCAGGGCUACACACGUGCUACACAUGGCCGGUACAAACCGCUGCAUAACUCGAGAGAGGGAGCCAANAAAAAAAAGCCGGUCUCAGUUCGGAUUGGAGUCUGCAACUCGACUCCAUGAAGUUGGAAUCGCUAGUAAUCGCAGAUCAGCACGCUGCGGUGAAUACGUUCCCGGGUCUUGUACACACCGCCCGUCACAUCACGAAAGUGGGCUGUACUAGAAGUGGCUGCGCUAACCGACAAGGAGGCAGGUCACGACGGUAUGGUUCAUGAUUGGGGUGAAGUCGUAANCAAGGUACC
rnacentral:rRNA from 1 species